AGUGGCGAACUGGUGAGUAACACGUGGGUAACCUGCCCCGAAGCGGGGGAUAACAUUUGGAAACAAGUGCUAAUACCGCAUAAUUAGUUGGAACCGCAUGGUUCCAACUUGAAAGAUGGCUCUGCUAUCACUUUGGGAUGGACCCGCGCCGUAUUAGUUAGUUGGUGAGAUAAAAGCCCACCAAGACGAUGAUACGUAGCCGACCUGAGAGGGUAAUCGGCCACAUUGGGACUGAGACACGGCCCAGACUCCUACGGGAGGCAGCAGUAGGGAAUCUUCCACAAUGGACGAAAGUCUGAUGGAGCAACGCCGCGUGAGUGAUGAAGGUUUUCGGAUCGUAAAACUCUGUUGUUAAAGAAGAACAAGUGUUAGAGUAACUGUUAACACUUUGACGGUAUUUA
rnacentral:rRNA from 1 species